CCUGACCACACUCAGCUGUUAAGCAGUACUAAUUGCUGACUGAUUAUUGUUUUCAGCAAUGCCCUGAGGCAUAAAUUGCCCCCAGACUGAUCUAACACAUUUGGCUCCUUUGAAGGGAAAGUACCCAAGUAUUGUGUUGGCUCCUCUAGGUCAUUGGCUUUUCCAUCUAAAUUCUAGAAUGAGUUUCUCAACCUCUGCAAGAUAAUGUGCUGGGAUUUUGAUUGGGAUUGUGUUUUCUACUGAUCAAGCUGAGAAGAUUAAAAAGAAGAAUUUUAAGCAAUGUCAUAUCUUGGAUGAUGCCUUGACGGUUUCCCUGCCUGACUUGCUCCCAUGACCACCACCACUAGGAAGUGGCCCCCAGGCCACCAUGAGCACUGUCAGUAGCAUUUGGUUUCUGGCCCCUGCUCUGGAGUGUUGAGGGACCAAUGGCCAUGGACUCUGUGCUUUGUGCUCUCCCUGGUGGGUUUCCAGUCCUAGAGGGUGCAGGA